rnacentral:rRNA from 1 species
GUCUAAGGCCAUGCCGCCCUAAGUGCCCAAUCCCGUCUGAUCUCGGAAGCUAAUAAGCAGGGUUGGGCCUGGUUAGUACGUGGAUGGGAGACCACCUGGGAGUACCAAAUGCUGAAGGCU